UACGAAGGGUGCAAGCGUUAGUCGGAAUUACUGGGCGUAAAGCGUGCGUAGGCGGUUUCUUAAGUCCGUUGUGAAAGCCCUGGGCUCAACCUGGGAACUGCAGUGGAUACUGAGAGGCUAGAGUGUGUCAGAGGAUGGUGGAAUUCCCGGUGUAGCGGUGAAAUGCGUAGAGAUCGGGAGGAACAUCAGUGGCGAAGGCGGCGAUCUGGGAAGAUACUGACGCUGAGGUGCGAAAGCGUGGGGAGCAAACAGG
rnacentral:rRNA from 1 species